GACGAACGCUGGCGGCGUGCUUAACACAUGCAAGUCGAACGGAAAGGCCCUGCUUUUGUGGGGUGCUCGAGUGGCGAACGGGUGAGUAACACGUGAGUAACCUGCCCUUGACUUUGGGAUAACUUCAGGAAACUGGGGCUAAUACCGGAUAGGAGCUCCUGCUGCAUGGUGGGGGUUGGUAAGUUUCGGCGGUUGGGGAUGGACUCGCGGCUAAUCAGCUUGUUGGUGGGGUAGUGGCUUACCAAGGCUUUGAAGGGUAGCCGGCCUGAGAGGUGGACCGGCGACAUUGGGACUGAGAGACGGCCCAGACUCAUACGGGAGGCAGCAGUGGGGAAUAUUGCAGAAUGGGCGGAAGCCUGAUACAGCAACGCCGCGUGCGGGAAGACGGCCUUCGGGUUGUAAACCGCUUUCGCCUGUAACGAAGCGUGAGUGACGGUAAUGGGUAAAGAAGCACCGGCUAACUACGUG
rnacentral:rRNA from 1 species